CGGGACGGGUGGAGUAACGACGUGGAGUAACCUGCCUCACACUGGGGGAUAACAGUUAGAAAUGGCUGCUAAUACCGCAUAAGCGCACAGUACCGCAUGGUACGGUGUGAAAAACCCAGGUGGUGUGAGAUGGAUCCGCGUCUGAUUAGCCAGUUGGCGGGGUAACGGCCCACCAAAGCGACGAUCAGUAGCCGACCUGAGAGGGUGACCGGCCACAUUGGGACUGAGACACGGCCCAA
rnacentral:rRNA from 1 species